rnacentral:rRNA from 1 species
UACGAGAGGCCCAAACGUUAUUCGGAUUUACUGGGCUUAAAGAGUUCGUAGGCGGCGCAGAAAGUGGGGUGUGAAAGCCCUCGGCUCAACCGAGGAAUUGCGCUCCAAACUCCUGUGCUUGAGGAACCUAGAGGUGAGCGGAACUGAUGGUGGAGCGGUGAAAUGCGUUGAUAUCAUCAGGAACACCGGAGGCGAAGGCGGCUCACUGGGGGUUUUCUGACGCUGAGGAACGAAAGCCAGGGGAGCGAAC